AUAUAAACACCUACACACUAAUGCCAAAAAGAAAUACGAAUACAAUGCACACCACUUCUUGAUACCUAAACAAGGUGAAACAGGGAAGUAAGGAGGAAAAAAGAAAAGAGUAGUAUUGUCCUCUGGCGUCAGUCACCAAGUGCUAUACAAUGAGGAAUGUAUACCAGACAACUGUUAUUUCCCUGAUACUUAUGAUCAUUUAUUCAACCACUCCAGCAUGUCAAGGUAUAUAGAGAGAUAUAAUUACUUAUUCUUACAUAUUAAUCCAUUCAUUCAAAUAAUAGCUUGCUUUGGCUUUGCGUUAUAAGCCAAAAAUCUCUAAUAACUUCGUCCAAGUUUGAUUUGAAAAAAUUUUAAACUAGUACAUGUCCAGAUAAAAGAAACUAUGAAAACAUAUGUCCUAAAGAAUUUGAUAAAAGUAAUAUGAAGGUUUAGAUGUAUGAGCAUUUUUCUCUAAACUUGGUCAAAAUUAGGAAUUUUUACUUUGAACAAAUCUUGAUGGAGCUAUAGUUUCGAACUGAUCAAGUACCAGUCAACAUGUUUUUAUUAUUUUGUAUUAUGUUGCAUGCAUGUCUAGGCCACGACCAGGUUGAGGCAUGGCAUCAUCUCCACAGUUCACCACCGCCACCGCUAAUGGAAUCAUCACGACCAUGGAGUUUAUCUGAAAUGUCGCACCAUCACCACCACGGGUCGCCUCCGCCACCGCCAAUGACGCCAUCACCAAUACGUAGUUUGACAGAGACAUUACACCAUCAUCACCACAGGUCGCCACCGCCUCCAUCAGUGCCGUCAUCACCACCACACCAUUUGUUCGAGAUGUGGCACCACCAUCACCACAAGUCACCUCCGCCACCGCCAGUAAUGUCAUUGCCAUCGAGAACUUUGUUUGAGACGUCGCACUGGCAUCACCACGGGUCGCCACCGCCGCCAUCAGUGCCGUCACCACCACCACGCCAUUUGUUUGAGACGUCGCACCAUCAUCCCCACAGGUCGCCUCCACCGCCGCUAGUGCCGUCAUCACCACCACGCAUCUUGUCUGAGACAUCGCACUGGCAUCACCAUAGGUCACCGCCACCACCACCAGUGUUGUUGCCACCAACACACAGUUUGUCUAAGGGAUCACACCAUCAUCACCAUAGGUCGCCGCCGCCACCACCAGUGUCAUUGUCACCACCACGCCAUUUGUUUGAGAUGUUGCACCAUCAUCACCAUGCGUCAUCACCGCCGCCACCGCCAGUGCCGCUGCCAUCACCACCACGUCAUUUGUUUGAGACUGCCCACCAUCAUCACCACAGGUCGUCUCCACCACCGCCAGUGCCAUCAUCACCACCACACAGUGUUUGAGACGUUAUCACCAAAUUAUGCCAAAUAAAGCUGAAGUCCGUGACAUGCUACUGCUACAACAGAAUGUCUGUUUGACUUAUGAUUGCAAGAACAUGUGCAAGGAAAACAUUUUGUUGCAUACUUGCUGUUGCCUACAUUAAGCACUGUAAUGAGCAUUUGUUUGGUGAGGGCUCAAUAAAAGACGGUUCUUUUUGUUGCACAAAUGCUGCUAUAUUUCGUUCCAGAUGCACAUGAUAUACUAGCCUAUUUAUAUUACAGUACAAUAAAAAAUUAUAUAGUUAAUAUAUUGUCGAGAUAUUUUGCUGAAAACGGUUUAUAAAAUUUAAGUGUUUAGUAGAUUGCAAAUGUAUAUUAUCUGGAUUUGUAGCCAUAUUCUAAUUAAUAGGUCUACAAUUAUACGAUUACACAGAUUAUAAUUACAAAACGUCAAAAAAACCAAAACUCAUGGAUGGCGCAUUCAUCUGGAACUAGAAUACUGGUUAUAUAACGACCAUUUAUGCCAAACAAAAGAGAAAAAUUGUUAGCAAUAAUAAAGUUACAAUUGAUUCUACAAGGGUACGUUUUUUCAUGAAAAAGUAACUGUCCAAUCCAAAUCCUGUAUUAUUGUCAGAUUCGAAUCUAACAGUGGGGACAAGUGAUAAAAAAUCAAAAAAUAAAGCAGUGAUAUGUGAUAAAAAAACUGUAUCACAGCCGGAUUCAGAUGUGUCAACAGUGUGAUAAGUGACGACAAAUAAGAAACACAGUAGUUAUAAGUGAUAAAAAAAUCAAAAAUAUGUGUUUUUUCAUGAUUGACAAGUACUGUUUCAUAGCUCAAUCGUCAGUGCCUUAGUGGCUUCAUACAUGGGGCAAGAGCUGAUGACCAUGUCCCAAUGCUACUAAGCCAGCCAAAAUCGUGUCAGGUCAACCAUGUGCUACGGCUGGGUUGGCCGGGACAGCAGCUUCCAUGCCUGCCGUGAUUUUUCUUGUUUUAUAUUUUUUUUAUUUACUAUCUUUUAACUUUUGGAUGUACUCAUGUGCUUGAUAAUAAGUAAUGCCCAUGGAAAAAUUUUAAUGGCAAUAUCACUCUUCUUGCCAAGCUGGAAAUAGUGAGCAACUCCCUAAUUUUAAUUACUUACUCGUCUUCGUCUGCAUUAUUUACUCUCUGGACAUGUUGAUAUUAGUUACUCCUAGCUAUAUAUAGGUAGCAAACCAAUGCAAUGGGUAAUGCUUGUCUAGUUUACGUUCUGCUGCUUGUGUAGGCUGCUCCAAGUUUGGUCGUCGUUGCUCUCCACCGCCACCAUCAGAGACGUGCUACAUUGAACCAAACCGCGAUCCUUUACGGUGCUACCGGCCGGAAGUGUUAGUCCUUUCACAAGGAAUAUUCCCGCUGUAAAUCGAUAGAUGUGAAUCCACAUGAGUGCUAUUGUAACAAUUAAUUAGCAACACACAUUGUAAUGCAAGGAAUAUCCCAGCUGUAAAACAGAUUUAUGGUCCUACAGGAAGUCUGAUGCAUGCAUGCAUGUUAAAAUAAAUUUGCCUUUCUGUGACCAAACGAAGGUGUACUUUAGUACGGAUUGGAGCAUCUCCAAUGGUUUGUCAUUUGCACUUGCUAUCCUUGUUUAUUUGGCAAAAACUACAAAUUUGAUUCUCCAAUGGUUUGCUAAAGGACUUGCCAAAUUUUGAGGAGUUGCUAUCCAGAGGCGCUCCACGCGCAAAUUUGAGGAGUUGCUAUCCAGAGUUGCUAUCCAUGGUGGUCAUUGCCGCCCCGUCCUCUUGCCUCCGUCGUCCGCGCGGCCGUCCUCUGUCGUCGUCCGUGCGGUCUCCGUCCGUCGUCGUCCGCGUGGUCUCCAUCCAUCAUCAUACGUGCGGCCGUCGUCCAUCAUCGUCUGCGCGGCCUCCAUCUAUCGUCGUCUGCGUGGCUGUUCUCCGUCCCUCGUCCGCGCGGCCUCCAUCCAUCGUCGUACGUGCGGCCGUCCUUCGUCGUCGUCCGCGCGGCCUCCGUUUAAUGACAACGGUGGCCAGCGGAUGGAGAUCGCCGCGAUGAAGCAGCGACGCACGGCGGCCACGAGAGUCACGACAGUUGAACGGUUGGAGGAUGUGGGCCUUUUUUUCUAUUUUACCAAGUCCAAAUGACAAACCAUUGGAGAUACAAGAUUAUUUCACUUGCCAUUUGUUUUAGCCACUUGCCAAAACACAAGAUUUGACAAAUGCAAUUUGACAAACCAUUGGAGAUGCUGUGUCCAUCUGUAAUAUUGUUGCGUAUAAUGGCACUCACACGCUCAGUAUGCUGCUAUAGUAGAAGCACAGUACUGAUCGGUGCAACAGAAACCAUUUUUAGAGAAGCUAUGCGGCUCUAUCAAAAUAUCCCUCUAAAAAUGAUCUCUAUUUUUAGAGGUGGCUGGCAAGUCAAACAGCCUCUACGAAAUGUGAUUAGAGGCAUCUAAACUUUUUAGCAUCCAUUUCUAGAGGUGGUUGGGAAUUCCAGCCAUCUCUAGAAAUGGACUUAGAGGCGGUUCUCAAUUUGGCCAGAUGGCCAUUGGAGGCUCCAAAGAUAGGAUUCCACUAUUGCGGUGGGAGAUGGAGUGGCAAAAUUUCCGAGAGGUGGCGGAGGCGGAUGGAGCUAUAACAUUUAAGGCAGGAGGCCGCGACACUCCACCUUCUGGCUUGGAAAUGGGCCGAUAACUUCGCCUGAGACAGGCCUUGGAAAGGCAGGAUAUAGACGAAUGGCCGUAAUUGAAGCAAAGAUUGUAUCUGAUUGAUCCUCGAUCUACAAGCUUUCUAUAAAUGACAAAAGCCUAGAUACCUGAAGCAUUGGGAGGGGCUGUGUUUGAAUUUAAAACAGAGUCAGUUGCCACAGAAGGCGACGAAUGUGGCAAUAGGAGGCUGCGGGUUUCAGCCCCAAUGCAGAACCACCCUGAGAUUUUGCCAUGAGCGCCUAUUUAGGGUUCCAGCGAGAAAUUGGCCUGAAAUUUCUCCCCACUAGAUUUGAAUUCAAAUUUGAAUUUGGGGAAUGGGCAAAAUUCUGAGGAACAAAAGAAGAACCAAAAAAAUUCUCAUGCUACUGUUUGCAGGGUAAUUCUGAACGAAGGAAAACCAAUUUUUUGAAACGAGCUUAGAUUUAACAAUCUCUGCAAAACUCUUUUUAUUGGAUUUUGAUCCGAUUGUUGUCAACUAAUCCUCUUGUUCAGCGAUCCAAACAUCAUACUCUGUUUUCCAGUUAGGACCCCCUCCUCACCAAAGGCAGAAGAAGAAGAUGGAAAAAAUCUUGCAAGAAAAGCUUUUGAGUUUGCGGAUCAUGAAACCCAUGUUCUUACAAGAGACUGAGAAGCUAUACAUCCAACCCAAAAAGGUGGAAGACAUUGAAAUCCUUAGCAAUGCCUCCAAGGCAUGAUUGAAGAAGUCCAAUGGAGUCCUCAUUGAGAUGGAAAACCGAGCGACUAAAGCUUGCAACAAGAUGGAAUGCAGACAGGAGAAGGGGGGCGCAGGACUCAGCGGGCACCCAAAACGUUGGUGAACCAAUUCCACAAACAUGGUCCCUGGAUCAAAGCACAGAUCGGAGAGCCCAGCCACGGUGCAAUCCAGGAUCAGCAGGGGGCUCCAUAGUCGGCAGUGGGAACAGGGGGAGAGAACACUAGAGGGGAAAGCACUGUCAGGGUUGUCUAUGAUCAACUAUAUUUUAGUCGACAUGGAUACAUAAUGUUUGCUAUGUAUCAAGCAUAAAUCCAUGUGCUUAGCAAAAAAACUAUGUAUCUAAAAACCUAGAAUGACUUACAAUUUGAAAUAGACAGAAUAAUUUUUUUUACCAUUUCACAAAGCACGUAUGUGCUUAUGACCAUUAAUUGUACUGAAGUAUAGAAGCUAACAAUAUAUAGCAAAUUAACUCAAAAAAUGUUGGUCAAUGUGCCGCGGAUCAAGCUCCAAAGGCAGCAUUGCCAAAUAAAAUAAAGUGGUUUCCCUAGUGCAUGAUGAAAAAUAAAGUGCCAUUUCGAUCGAGUAUAUUUGAUCAAAUAUGGGAGAAACAGGACUCUUGGGUAUUCAAUUUUAACCCACUUUUCUAAUUUGGUCAUAACAUCAUUAUUCUAUAUUGGUAAAUGUUAAAAUGUUGUUUAUCAGCAACUGACACUAACUGCACAUUGGAAACCAGAGUAUUCCGUGUUCAUUGGGAAAAAAUAUAUUCAGUGUUCUGUAACAGAAGUUGGCAUUUAGGUUCCAUCAUCGUUUGGCUACAAGUUCUGGAUUUACCUCUACAUUGUUGGAUGGUCUCCUAUUGCUAAAUUGGUUAUAUGUUUGCAGAAGAAAAUAGUUGAUUUUCUACGUCUCCAGCAUGUUCAUAACAUGUUUUAUUGUUGCCCUAGAUAAGUCUAUUUGGUUUUACAAUUACGAGAGCCAAAAUUCAUACAUUCUAGACAUCCAUAUUAGAUUCUACGGUGGUAGGUGAACAAAGUAGUAUAUUUACGGUUGUGGAUGAAUAAGGUAGUAAAUUUGUGGUUUUGUGAUUGUGCUAUUGGUUAUUGCAACAAAUUUACUCUUGAGGAUCUUACUAUACACAUAAGAUAAAUAAAAAAAAUAAAAUCCUAGAUAGAUGAAGAGGCUAAUGCUGUAGAUAAAUAAAUAAAUACAUAAGGUAAAUAAAUACACUUGAGGUGCAUUGAAGGCUAGUUCCAUCAAGAUUGAUGAUAAACAAAUACAUAUUUACAUGCACAAAACAAAUAGAUAGGUAGGUACAGAUAGAGACAUAAAUAGAUUUCUUAUUUUUAAUAAAUUUUGGGCAAAUAGAUAGAUAGGCAGACAAACUCAUAAAUAGUUAGGCAGGUACAAAUAGAUAUAGAUAUAGAUAUAGAUAUAGAUAUAGAUAUAGAUAUAGAUAUAGAUAUAGAUAUAGAUAUAGAUAUAGAUAUAGAUAUAAAUAAAUUUUGACAAUAAAUCUUACUCAAGGUUUUUGGGUACUCCUAUAUAAACACCUACACACUAAUGCCAAAAAGAAAUACGAAUACAAUGCACACCACUUCUUGAUACCUAAACAAGGUGAAACAGGGAAGUAAGGAGGAAAAAAGAAAAGAGUAGUAUUGUCCUCUGGCGUCAGUCACCAAGUGCUAUACAAUGAGGAAUGUAUACCAGACAACUGUUAUUUCCCUGAUACUUAUGAUCAUUUAUUCAACCACUCCAGCAUGUCAAG
rnacentral:lncRNA from 1 species